GGUGAACGCUGGCGGCGUGCCUAACACAUGCAAGUCGAUCGGAGCAGCAAUGCUUAGAGGCGAACGGGUGAGGAAAACGUAGUAACCAACCCUUUAGACUGGGAUAGCCACUGGAAACGGUGGGUAAUACCGGAUAAGCUCGAGAGAGGAAGGCAGAGAGCGCUAAGGACGACCUGCGCCCAUCAGAUAGUUGGUGAGGUAAAGGCUUACCAAGUCAAAGACGGGAAACCGACGUGAGAGCGUGUACGGUCACAAGGGCACUGAGAGACGGGCCCUACUCCUACGGGAGGCAGCAGGUGGGGAAUAUUGGACAAUGGACGAAAGUCUGAUCCAGCGACGCCGCGUGGAGGAAGAAGUCCUUCGGGAUGUAAACUCAUGAAGCUAACGAAUAAGACGGAAGGGGAACCUUCCGGGAGAAGGUAAUUAGUGAAAAGCCCCGGCUAACUACGUG
rnacentral:rRNA from 1 species